UACGUAGGGUGCAAGCAUUAUCCGGAGUGACUGGGCGUAAAGAGUUGCGUAGGCGGUUAGUAAAGCGAAUAGUGAAACCUGGUGGCUCAACCAUACAGACUAUUAUUCGAACUCACUAACUCGAGAAUGGUAGAGGUAACUGGAAUUUCUUGUGUAGGAGUGAAAUCCGUAGAUAUAAGAAGGAACACCAAUGGCGUAGGCAGGUUACUGGACCAUUUCUGACGCUAAGGCACGAAAGCGUGGGGAGCGA
rnacentral:rRNA from 1 species